GACGAACGCUGGCGGCGUGCUUAACACAUGCAAGUCGAGCGGUAAGGCCCUUUCGGGGGUACGACGAGCGGCGAACGGGUGAGUAACACGUGGGUGACCUGCCCUCAGCUCUGGGAUAAGCCUCGGGAAACCGGGUCUAAUACCGGAUAUGACUCCAUGACGCAUGUUGUGGGGUGGAAAGCCUUGUGCGGCUGAGGAUGGGCCCGCGGCCUAUCAGCUUGUUGGUGGGGUGAUGGCCUACCAAGGCGACGACGGGUAGCCGGCCUGAGAGGGCGACCGGCCACACUGGGACUGAGACACGGCCCAGACUCCUACGGGAGGCAGCAGUGGGGAAUCUUGCGCAAUGGGCAAAGCCUGACGCAGCGACGCCGCGUGAGGGAUGAC
rnacentral:rRNA from 1 species